rnacentral:misc_RNA from 1 species
GCAAACUUGGUCAUUUAGAGGAAGUAAAAGUCGUAACAAGGUUUCCGUAGGUAAGUGAAAGCUUUCCAUCUUACACCCCCUACAACCCAUUGCUUGAAUAACGUGCUGACCUUUUCCCUUUUAGGUGAACCUGCGGAAGGAUCAUUACCGAGUGCGAACCCCCCCAUAAAAAAGGGGGGUCACCUCCCGUCCUUUGCUGGGCAUCCCCUCCAAUCGGAUGGGGGUUGUUUUUUCAGACCUUUCUGCUUCGGCGGGGUUACCUGCCGAAACAACCUUCAAAAUAUUCUCAGUCAAACCGUUCAGUCCGAGAACUUUUUUGAAAAGCGAAAAACUUUCAACAACGGAUCUCUUGGUUCUGGCAUCGAUGAAGAACGCAGC